GGCUCAAUGGUCUAGUGGUAUGAUUCACCCUUAGGGUGGGUGAGGUCCCGAGUUCAAUUCUCGGUUGAGCCC
rnacentral:tRNA from 1 species